rnacentral:ncRNA from 1 species
AGGUGUCCACAGGACUUAAUAGGGAAUUCGGUCAAGCCAUUGCCAAGCCGAAGCGGUCCCGCCACUGUAGGGUGGAGUUCUGCGCAUGAUGUCACUGGGGUAGAUAUGAGUACCUUGGGAAGGCGCGCAGCACGAUGAAGCCGAGCCAGGAGAACUGCCUGUUCUA